GACGAACGCUGGCGGCGUGCCUAAUACAUGCAAGUAGAACGCUGAGGGAGGAGCUUUCUCUUCUGGAUGAGUUGCGAACGGGUGAGUAACGCGUAGGGAACCUGCCUGUUAGCGGGGGGGAACUAUUGGGGAAGAUGGCUAAUACCGCGGAAAAGUAGAUGUUGCAUGAGAUUUACUUAUAAAGGACAAUUUCAUCACUACCAGUUGGUCCUUCGUUGUAUUAGCUAGUUGGUGGUGUAACGGCUCACCAAGGCGACGAUACAUAGCCGACCUGGGAGGGGGAUCGGCCCACCCGGGACCGAGACAAGGCCCAGACUCCCACGGGAGGCAGCAGUAGGGAAUCCUCGGCAAUGGACGGAAGUCUGACCGAGCAAAGCCGCGUGAGUGAAGAAGGUUUUCGGAUCGUAAAGAUCUGUUGUAAGAGAAGAACGAGUGUGAGAGUGGAAAGUUCACACUGUGACGGUAUCUUAUCAGAAAGGGACGGCUAACUACGUG
rnacentral:rRNA from 1 species